rnacentral:rRNA from 2 species
GCUCAGGACGAACGCUGGCGGCGUGCCUAAUACAUGCAAGUCGAACGAACUCUGGUAUUGAUUGGUGCUUGCAUCAUGAUUUACAUUUGAGUGAGUGGCGAACUGGUGAGUAACACGUGGGAAACCUGCCCAGAAGCGGGGGAUAACACCUGGAAACAGAUGCUAAUACCGCAUAACAACUUGGACCGCAUGGUCCGAGUUUGAAAGAUGGCUUCGGCUAUCACUUUUGGAUGGUCCCGCGGCGUAUUAGCUAGAUGGUGAGGUAACGGCUCACCAUGGCAAUGAUACGUAGCCGACCUGAGAGGGUAAUCGGCCACAUUGGGACUGAGACACGGCCCAAACUCCUACGGGAGGCAGCAGUAGGGAAUCUUCCACAAUGGACGAAAGUCUGAUGGAGCAACGCCGCGUGAGUGAAGAAGGGUUUCGGCUCGUAAAACUCUGUUGUUAAAGAAGAACAUAUCUGAGAGUAACUGUUCAGGUAUUGACGGUAUUUAACCAGAAAGCCACGGCUAACUACGUGCCAGCAGCCGCGGUAAUACGUAGGUGGCAAGCGUUGUCCGGAUUUAUUGGGCGUAAAGCGAGCGCAGGCGGUUUUUUAAGUCUGAUGUGAAAGCCUUCGGCUCAACCGAAGAAGUGCAUCGGAAACUGGGAAACUUGAGUGCAGAAGAGGACAGUGGAACUCCAUGUGUAGCGGUGAAAUGCGUAGAUAUAUGGAAGAACACCAGUGGCGAAGGCGGCUGUCUGGUCUGUAACUGACGCUGAGGCUCGAAAGUAUGGGUAGCAAACAGGAUUAGAUACCCUGGUAGUCCAUACCGUAAACGAUGAAUGCUAAGUGUUGGAGGGUUUCCGCCCUUCAGUGCUGCAGCUAACGCAUUAAGCAUUCCGCCUGGGGAGUACGGCCGCAAGGCUGAAACUCAAAGGAAUUGACGGGGGCCCGCACAAGCGGUGGAGCAUGUGGUUUAAUUCGAAGCUACGCGAAGAACCUUACCAGGUCUUGACAUACUAUGCAAAUCUAAGAGAUUAGACGUUCCCUUCGGGGACAUGGAUACAGGUGGUGCAUGGUUGUCGUCAGCUCGUGUCGUGAGAUGUUGGGUUAAGUCCCGCAACGAGCGCAACCCUUAUUAUCAGUUGCCAGCAUUAAGUUGGGCACUCUGGUGAGACUGCCGGUGACAAACCGGAGGAAGGUGGGGAUGACGUCAAAUCAUCAUGCCCCUUAUGACCUGGGCUACACACGUGCUACAAUGGAUGGUACAACGAGUUGCGAACUCGCGAGAGUAAGCUAAUCUCUUAAAGCCAUUCUCAGUUCGGAUUGUAGGCUGCAACUCGCCUACAUGAAGUCGGAAUCGCUAGUAAUCGCGGAUCAGCAUGCCGCGGUGAAUACGUUCCCGGGCCUUGUACACACCGCCCGUCACACCAUGAGAGUUUGUAACACCCAAAGUCGGUGGGGUAACCUUUUAGGAACCAGCCGCCU